AUCUCAAUUUGUUACAUGAAUGUUAUAAAGAAUUUCCGAUUUUUUUAUCCAAUAACAGGGCAGCUGGAACAGAAACGCAGUGAAGAAUAUCUUGAAGAGAGGGAGAUUUUUCGUCGAUCUAGUUCCACAAACGAAGAUGAAGGUUUGGAUUACCUGAACUCGAAUCCUGAAGAUAUAAUCCACGUUCAGAAGGAUGCAUUCCUUGGUGGCAACAUCUGCACCAAAGUCAUCUUCUUCUGCCUGCUGGGUGCACUCGGAGUCAUGGUCAGCUUCAUCAUAUUCGAAUACAGAGGAUCAAACGAUUUGGAAACACAGUCUGCAGUGGACUCACCCUGGUCUCAAAUGCUGGAAGGAUGGGUCGAUUCAAACAUAGAUGAGCAUCAUGACGAUCAUCCUGAAGAAGACGACGAGGUAGAUGUUUCUGGAGAAGAGGACGAACACGAAGAAGAAGAAGAUGAAGAAGAUGACCUUGAUGAAGCCAGUGGUGAGCAAGAGGAUGAUGGAUAUGAAAGUGGGGAAGAAGUAGAGGAUGAUGAUGAUGAUGAUGAAGAGGAAGAAGAAGAAGAGGAUGAUGAUGAAGAGGAGGAGGAAGAUGAUGAUGAUGAAGAAGAGGAGGAGGAGGAUGAGGAGGAGGAAGAAGAAGAAGAGGAGGAGGAUGAGGAGGAAGAAGAAGAAGAAGAAGAAGAUGAGGAGGAGGAGGAAGAAGAAGAGGAAGAGGAUGAGGAGGAAGAAGAAGAAGAAGAUGAGGAGGAGGAGGAAGAAGAAGAAGAUGAGGAGGAGGAAGAAGAAGAAAGAGAAGAGGAGGAGGAAGAGGACGACGAAGAGGAGGAAGAGGACGACGAAGAGGAAGAGGAGGAGGAAGACGACGACGAAAAAGAAGAGGAGGAGGAGGAUGAAGACGAAGAUCAAGAGGAUGAUGAUGAUGAAGAAGAGGAGGAAGAAGAUGAAAAAGAAAAGGAUGAAAGUGGAGAGGUGGAGGAGGAUGAUGAUGAUGAUGACAAGGACGAUGACAAUGAUAAAGAAGAUGAAGACGAUGAUGAAGAAGAAAAAGGUGAUGAUGAAGAUGACGACAAUGACAAUGAUAAUGAUAAAUUGGACUAUAAGAGUGAAGAAUCGGAGGAUGAUGGUUAUGAAACAAAAGAUGAUGAUGAUGGCGACGAUGAUAAUGAUGAUGAGGAGGAGAAAAAACCGAUCAAAAAAAGACCAACGAUCGUUUGGAGUCUGAAAAAGAAACCAAAAUCUGUGUUGGCUGCAAGGGGCAAAGCUGAUCACAAUGCUCCUGAUGAUGAUGAUAAUGAUGAGGAUGACAAUGAUGAUCGACAUGGUCAUGAUGUUGGAAGUAAGAAAGGCCAUGAUGAUGAUGAUGAUGAUGAUGAUGACGAUGAUGGCGAUGAAGGAAAAGUAAAAGCCUCAAUUAAAGAAGAAAAAAAGUCAAAGAAGAAGUCCAAAAGUAAAAAGAAAGAUAAGGAUAGCAAGGACGAUGAAGUAUUAGAAAAGUUGGAAGAAACGCCAGAAGUAGAACAGGAAGAAGGCGGAGAAGAAGAAACAUCUGGUGUUGCAUUGAAAUUUGGAGUGGGUGUAGCCCUAGUGGUAGUCGCUCAUGUCGUUCUUGUUAGGAAAUGGAACAGUAUUGGUGCUGGAGAAUCGAAAAUAGAAAAAGAGAUUGUUGCGUCGAAGCAAUCAAUAGAAGCCAUCCCUAAACCUGAGACGCCAGACCUUUUGUCUCGGCGAAAGACUCUGGUUCCUCCCUCUUUUACAGAAGACUUUCAUCCUUCGCGAUCACCAUCCCCUCCUCUAGAUGAAUACUCAGAAGAUGAACACGAAGAAGAAGAAGAGGAAGAGGGAGAAGAAGGAGCUGUGGAAAGCGAGCAAGUGAAACAAACACUGGAUGAUUUGAAGGCUGCUUAUGCGGACAUAACUCCUGAACCAAGUGACAUCGAGGAGGAUUAUGAAAGAGAUACGGCAACCAAAGCAUACGACUACAAUUCAACCCCACCAGAGAGUGAGCCGGAACUAAGUGAGCCUGAAGAAGAAGAGGAGGAGGAUGAGGAAGAAGAAGAAGAUGAUGAACCACGCAGUGAAUGGCAAAGCAGUCAGGCUGCUCAUCUGCUGGCUGAAGAGGUGGAGGAUCUGCAGACCGAAUCAGAAACCGAAGAGGAGGAGUCCGACGAUGAGCCUCCCCCUCCCCCUCCAGUGGCGCGUCGCAGAGGUCAAGAAAUCGACGAAAACGAACAGAUCUUCCAAGACCUAGUCUAUGAAACAUUUGAGAAGGUUGAACAGCCACUGGAACAGUACUCUGCCAAAGUAGAACAACCUCAAACGUCUGUCAACGAGGAUAGUGAGAUUUCUGAUGGAUUGGAUGAGAAUGAUGGACAAGAUCCGUGGGAGCCGCUGACUUCAGCUGAAACGUUCAACGAUGCGGCCACUGCAAAUGAUAACAUGAAUGAAGAAGUGGAGCAGCCAGCUGAGGCAGAAGCAGAAGCCGACCAAGAAGUAGUCAAGGAUUAUUUCAAUGGUGACAUAACUAAUGACUAUGAUUGGGAAAUCCACGAUGACUUGGAUGCUGCCGAUGCUGAACUCAAUCAAGGACAUGCGGAGCGAGCCCUGUCCACGUUCACCUCCCUGCUGGCCCAAGCCCCCCUCUCGCCCCGUGCUCGCCUCGGCAAGGCGCAGGCUCUCGACCGAAUGGCCGAACAGCAAAGGAGCAACGCCCUUCUUGUCAAAGCCAUUGCCGCCUACAGCCAUGCCAUACAAGCGCCAAACAUUCCCGACAAACUGCUCGUCAUUGUUGCCAAUCGCACCAUUGACCGCAUGAGGUUCAAAGGAAUGCAUUUGGACGCAGUUAAAGUGCACAAUGAACUGAUAACACGUUUUCCUGAUUCGCCACUCUACAGAAAUCAGUUGGCAGUCACCUACUUGAUGAUAAACAGUGUUUGGAUGGGUGUAGGUUGUCAGAGGCUAAAGCGGUGUUGCAAGCGACAUUGGAGCGAUGGCCGGCGGAAGGAUGGGCGAAUGCGUUGUACGGCUUGCUUCUCAAGCUGCAAGGCUUCAAUGCGGAGGCCAUUCCCCACCUGCGGGUGGGACUCAGCACAAAUGCUUCUGGCACGCAAGAGAGCAACUUCUAUUUCCACCUGGGAGAUGCUCUCACCCGUGUCGACAAGUAUGAAGAGGCUUUGAAAGUAUAUAAAUAAUGCUCUUUAUUCAGCAACUAUGCACCACUGAAUGUCAACCAACUCUAGCAUAGCUCUUCUCAUACUGUCUGCUGGAUGGCUACUAACAAAAUUGUGUAUGAGGAUGCAACCGCAAAAGGGCUCUUGAGAUCCAAGUACCAGCGUUCAUUGUACAACGUCGAUCGAUUGAAAGCCCGGCCUUGGUGGACUCUCGAGGAAACAACGUAUCAAAAUUUCUUCAGGAAAUUGGAAAAGAAUUGGAAAACAAUCAGAGAUGAAGGCCUAGCAGCGCUAAAAUACAAGAAAGGAUACCUCGAUGAAGCUGAGAGUCUGCGGCGAACCGGCGAUUGGAAGCAAUUCGAAUUAUUUGCCAGAGGUCGAAAGUCGGCGAAGAACUGUGAGCGGACGCCAGUGACGUGUGGGCUGAUUGGGGGGUUCGAGGCGGCGUCAGGCUGUCGCCGCGGCCAGACCAAGUUCAGUGUGAUGGAGCCUGGCACACACGUGUGGGCACACUGCGGCCCCACCAACGCUCGGCUGCGUGCGCAUAUGGGCCUCGUCGUGCCACCCAAUGUCUUCAUCAGAGUCGCCGACCAAGUCAGAACUUGGGAGGAAGGGAAGUUCAUAAUAUUCGAUGACAGCUUCGAGCAUGAAGUUUGGCACAACGGAACAGAACAACGUCUAGUCUUGAUCGUCGACAUUUGGCAUCCAGAAUUGACAUCCGAAGAAAGACGAACACUCUCUGCAAUCUGAUCAAUUCCGGUUAAUGAGCAUUAACCUCGCCUUUAUAAACUACCAAAUAAUCUAUUUAUAAUGAUUCAAUCACUGUAAAACGUAAAAUUUGUCAAAUUUCAUAGUCAUUGGUACUUAUUAAAGUAAUGUAAAGCUUGAAACUAUAUUUGUAAUGAAAUUUGUUCAGUUUUGUUA